CCUACGGGAGGCAGCAGUAGGGAAUCUUCCACAAUGGACGAAAGUCUGAUGGAGCAACGCCGCGUGAGUGAAGAAGGGUUUCGGCUCGUAAACCUCUGUCAGCAGGGAAGAACGGUCACUGUGCUAAUCAGCAGUGAAUUGACGGUACCUGCAAAGGAAGCACCGGCUACCUCCGUGCCAGCAGCCGCGGUAAUACGGAGGGUGCGAGCGUUAAUCGGAAUUACUGGGCGUAAAGCGCUCGUAGGCGGUAUGUGAAGUCAAGGGUGAAAUCCCCGCGCUCAACGUGGGAACUGCCUUUGAAACUGGCAAACGGGAGUGUGUGAGAGGAUAGUGGAAGUCCAGGUGUAGGAGUGAAAUCCGUAGAUAUCUGGAGGAACAGCAGUGGCGAAGGCGACUAUCUGGCACAUAACUGACGCUGAGGAGCGAAAGCGUGGGUAGCAAACAGGAUUAGAUACCCGUGUAGUC
rnacentral:rRNA from 1 species